AUUUUAUAGUUGUUCAAAUCUUUUUGCCUGGAAAUCCAACAAUACUCCAGGUACUCUGAACCCCACACACUACCUGAUUAGAGUUGACUUUUUAAGGGAGACAACAGGCAAUAUCAGACAUGUGGCCAAACAUCGUGUAAUCCUGGUUAGAUUUCUCAAUAUGUAAAAUCAAAAUCUGUUGCAUAAGGAUUUCAGUACAACCUUAGUGGAGAGACAUCCUUUUUGAAUUUUGCUUGUCCUGUUCAUGCAUGAUGGUCUCACUGUGAGCCACAUUAAUGACAGCUAACAAUAUAAGGAGUCGAACAAAGAAAAUGUAAG